rnacentral:rRNA from 1 species
GACGAACGCUGGCGGCGUGCUUAACACAUGCAAGUCGAGCGGUAAGGCUCCUUCGGGAGUACACGAGCGGCGAACGGGUGAGUAACACGUGAGCAAUCUGCCCUUCUCUUCGGAAUAACCAUUGGAAACGAUGGCUAAUGCCGAAUACGACCUCCCUUCGCAUGUUGGGAGGUGGAAAGCUCCGGCGGAGAAGGAUGAGCUCGCGGCCUAUCAGCUUGUUGGCGGGGUAACGGCCCACCAAGGCAACGACGGGUAGCCGGCCUGAGAGGGUGACCGGCCACACUGGGACUGGGACACGGCCCAGACGCCUACGGGAGGCAGCAGUGGGGAAUAUUGGACAAUGGGCGAAAGCCUGAUCCAGCAACGCCGCGUGAGGGAUGACGGCCUUCGGGUUGUAAACCUCUUUCAGCAGGGACGAAGCGAAAGUGACGGUACCUGCAGAAGAAGGACCGGCCAACUACGUGCCAGCCGCCGCCGUAAAAC